rnacentral:rRNA from 1 species
CCCUUAGAUGUCCUGGGCUGCACGCGCGCUACACUGAUGUGUCCAGUAAGCACCUAACCUCUUCCGAAAGGAACGGGUAACCUUUGCAAAGCACAUCGUGAUGGGGAUAGAUUAUUGCAAUUAUUAGUCUUGAACGAGGAAUUCCUAGUAAGCACAAGUCAUCAGCUUGUGUUGAUUACGUCCCUGCCCUUUGUACACACCGCCCGUCGCUACUACUGAUUGGGUGUUCAAGUGAGAUGCUUAGACCCUUGUUGCAUGGUUCAUUAUUGUGCUCCGAAAGGAAAAAGUUUCAAGCUUGAGUGUCUAGAGGAAGUAAAAGUCGUAACA